AGGAAGUCUCUAUGGAAGACAGGAAGUGAUGUCAGCUAGAGACAGGAAGUAUGUAAAGAUAAAGACAGGAAGUUUAAGGUGUGAGGUGAAAUUGGAGGGAGCAGAGAGGAGACAUUACAGGAAUUGGCAGCAGAGGAGAGAAACCUGCAUAGAUCCCCAUGAAUGAGGAUGGAGGAGAAUCUGAGUGACAUCACUGGAAAGAUACUAAACCUUACUGUGGAGAUCAUCUGCCUGCUGACCGGAGAGAGAUUUUCUAUUCUGAAGUCAGGUGAUCAUGUGGUCA